GGUAAAAUGGCUGAGAUGUCAGGCGUUAAAUUGUAAAUUUAUUAACGGAAAAUUUUCCUUUUACUA
rnacentral:tRNA from 1 species